GGAACGCAACUGCAUCCAGCGACUCCUGAACAAUGGCCUCCUUCUUCAACCUUAGCCUGAUUGCCUUGGUGGUGAUGAUGAUGGCUGUUGGCGCCAUCGCAGAACCAGAACCUUUCCCUGCCCCUGGCAAGGGUAAGGGAAAAGGCAAAGGAUAGGGUAAAGGACACUAAAGAAACUACCGACUCUUCUGCGUCAAAUUAUGCCACUGGUGAUUAAAAUGGUAUUUUAAUUAUUUAUUGCCGAAAAUUUUUAAUAAAUCACUUCAACCAAAA